UGCGUAGGAUGCAAGCGUUGUCCGGAUUUAUUGGGUUUAAAGGGUGCGUAGGCGUCUUAUUAAGUUAGUGGUGCAAACUUUCGGCUCAACCGGAUACCCGCCAUUGAUACUGAUAGACUUGAGUGCGACAGAGGGUGUUGGAAUGUGUGGUGUAGCGGUGAAAUGCUUAGAUAUCACGCAGAACACCAAUUGCGAAGGCAGAUGCCUAUGUCGUAACUGACGCUGAGGCACGAAAGCGUGGGGAGCAAACAGG
rnacentral:rRNA from 1 species